rnacentral:antisense_RNA from 1 species
AGGCAUAGUGAAAAUGGGCGGCGAUGGAUACUCCCAGCACUUGCUGAGCACUGCUACACCUCAGGACUGGGACAGAGAGAACCAUUCUCUGCUUUCAAUAGGACAGAAGAGCUCCUUGGCACUGGAUGCCUCCGGGUCUGGUUGAGAGAGGAAUGGUUAGGAGAUUGUUCUGAGGAUAUGCAGACAUCAUCCAAAGCUUCCUACAUUCAGAUGAGGACAGAGGUUGGGCUAGAGCUUUGUAUGCUUGUUACCUAAGUAUGGUUCUGACCAUGUAAGCAGAUCACAGAAGCACUGUUCACAAUAGCAAAGUCUUGGAACCAAUCCAAAUGCCCAUCAAUGAAAACCUGGAUAAAGAAAAUGUGGCACAUACACAGCAUGGAAUACUAUGCAUCCAUAAAAAAGGAUGAGUUCAUGUCCCUUGCAGGGACAUGGAUGAAGCUGGAAAACAUCAUUCUCAGCAAACUAACCUAUUCACAGAUCAUCAUCAGCCAGAGGUGACUUCUGUUGCUUGCAGCUCAGAAUCCUAGAUGUUUCUGGUGGCACUGAAGAGCCUCUGCCGAAGCUCUAUACCAUUUGCCAUGUACAAAGGGAAAUGAAAUAAUAACGCCGACCAUUUGUGGAGCACAUUCUGU